GGGCCUAUGACUUAGUAGGGUAAAGCACCUGGCUUGUAAACAGGAGAUCCUGAGUUUGACUCUCAGUAGGGCUU
rnacentral:tRNA from 1 species